AUAAAAUAAUAAUCCGAUAAAAAAACCAAAAUAAAAAAUUUUUUAUAAAAUAAAAAAUUAAACAAAUAAAGUAUAAUUAUUAGAAAUUUUAAUGGAAUAAAGAAAGUACCUAAAGGGAAAAUUGAAAAAAUGAAAAAAAAAUAAAAAAAAAGAAGAAAUUAAAGCUCCUACCUUUUGUAUUAUGGUUUAACAACAAAAAAGAAAAACUUUUCAAAACCCGAAACCAAGAGAUCUAAUGAUACACCAAUAAAAUGAUUGUAUUAUAUUACUGUUGCAAAAGUAAAUAAAGAGGUAUCAUUAGACAUUAAAAGUGAAACGAGCUUGGUAAUAGCUGGUUUUCUGCUAAAUGAGUGUUAGCUCAAGUUUUUAUUUAUUAAUAAAAAAAUUUUUAUAAUAACUUUAAAAAACUAAACUAAAAGGGAUAAACUUUUUAGUUAAAGGAAAAAGCCUAAAAAAAAAUAGUUAAAAUCAAAAAAAAGAGAAAAGAAAAAAAAAUUAGUAGGCCUAGAAGCAGCCACCAAUAGGAAAGCGUUAAAGCAAAAUAUAAACAUAAACAAUAAUUAAUGAAAAAUUUAUUUUAACUUAAAAGAAAAGCAGAAUAAUAGUUUUUAACUAAAGAAUAAUGUUAAAAUUAGUAUUUAAAAGAUUAAAAUAAAUUAAACUAUUCUAACAAAAAUAAAUAACUGAAUGAAAAGAAAAUAUUUCUAACAAGAAAAAAAUUUUUUUAAUAGUUUUAUUCAACACUGAAAAUCAAAAAAAAAAGUAAAUAAGAGAAAGGAAUUCGGCAAAAAAGGCUUCGCCUGUUUACCAAAAACAUCGCCCCUAGAAACAACUUUAAUAAGGGGUAAUGCCUGCCCGGUGACAAAAGUUAAACGGCCGCGGUAUCUUGACCGUGCAAAGGUAGCAUAAUCAUUUGUUCUUUAAUUGAGGACUUGUAUGAAUGGCAAGACGAAAGCCUAACUGUCUCCCUCUUAAAAAAAGAAAUUAUUUUAUUUGUGAAGAAACGAAUAUAAAAACGUAAGACGAGAAGACCCUGUCGAGCUUAAAAAAAUUUUUAUAAAAAAAACUAUUAUCUGACCUUCAAUAAUUAUUAUUAAAUAAAAAUAUUUUUGGUUGGGGCAACCACGAAGAAAAAACAACCUUCGAUAAACAAAAAAAAUUAACAAAUUUAAAAAUUUUUAAAAAUAAAAGAUCCAGAAAUACUGAUCAAAGAAAAAAGUUACCGCAGGGAUAACAGCGUUAUUCUCUUUGAGAGUUCUUAUUGACAAGAGAGUUUGCGACCUCGAUGUUGGACCGGGGCACCUAAGAGGAGCAAAAACCUCUAAAAGUAGGUCUGUUCGACCUUUAAAGCCCUACGCGAUCUGAGUUCAGACCGACGCAAGUCAGGUCAGUUUCUAUCUACGAAAAAAAGAGUUUUAUUAGUACGAAAGGAAUUUAAAACUAGAGACAACCAAUCAAUUAGCUCUCUAAAACAAAUACUGAAACAAAAUAAAGAAAACUUU
rnacentral:rRNA from 1 species